UCGUUCAGGGAUCGCCCCCCACCAGCGAGUUUCGCCCGUGGGGGCAAUGCCA
rfam:Rhodobacteraceae bacterium KLH11 scf_1108856220445 genomic scaffold, whole genome shotgun sequence.